UCCUCAUUCUCUUACCUGGAUGUCCAGAGUGGCUCCCUAAUCAGACUUGCUUGACCUCAAGCCUCAGCCCCUCUGAACCCAGCCCACACGCUGCCCAGAGUCAUCCGGUCACCACUCAGACAGGGUCAGUCCUCCUCUCUGCUGGGCAAGCUCCAGUGGCACCUGCCACUAAGGUCUGCACGGCCUGGUUAAAGGCACCAGAACGAUCAUAAACUGGCCUCUGCCCACUUCCUGAGCAGCUAUCCACUGCUCCUGCUUCACGGAAUCCCCCAACAACUGUCAUCUACAGCCCUCCAUACAUAUCGUUCUGAGCAUUGCUUAACUGUCUCUUCAUCCUGCUGGGUUGAGCUCGGCCCACGUGCACACCUGCCCUCCCCUUAAACUGUUAAGCACAGAUUCCAAGAGAGCCUGGGAUUCUAAAACACCAUUUGAGGUCAGCGUACAGGUAUCAGUUCACGUGGGCAAGAGCCGAACUCACCUCUGCCAUCACCCAGGUUUCCUGGGCUGAGCCAUGUGGGGUCAGAACCUCCAGGUACCUUCAGGGCAGCUUGAAAAAAUAAAACCUUAAUUAUGGAGAAUUUUGAAGAUACACAAAAGUAGUUCAUAGUAGAAACCCACAGUGUGCCUCUGCCAGGUCUGGCUUCUGGGCUCACAUCACAUCUGUGGAACCAAUCACGCUGUAUGACCCUCUGCUUAGAGCUUCUCUCUGUUAAGUUUUGUGCUCAGGGGACUCUUCCACGGGCUCCCAGGGUGGAAAGCAGAGUACCUGGACCCUGCCUGUCCCAGCUGUAGACUCAGCCUUCAAAGACAACAAAUUGGAAAAUCCUUGCAUUGCCC
ensembl:lncRNA